AGGAUGAACGCUAGCGGCAGGCUUAACACAUGCAAGUCGAGGGGUAACAUGGUAGCAAUACUGAUGACGACCGGCAAACGGGUGCGGAACACGUACGCAACAUACCCUUGUCUGGGGCAUAGCCUUCUGAAAAGGAGAUUAACACCCCAUAAGAUAGUAGAUAGGCAUCUAUUCGCUAUUAAAAAUUCAUUGGACAGGGAUUGGCGUGCGUCCUAUUAGCUAGUUGGUAGGGUAACGGCCUACCAAGGCGACGAUAGGUAGCUGGUGUGAGAGCACGACCAGCCACACGGGCACUGAGACACGGGCCCGACUCCUACGGGAGGCAGCAGUGAGGAAUAUUGGUCAAUGGGCGAAAGCCUGAUCCAGCAAUGCCGCGUGAGUGAUGAAGGCCUUAGGGUUGUAAAGCUCUUUCGCCCGCGACGAUGAUGACGGUAGCGGGAGAAGAAGCCCCGGCUAACUUCGCGCCAGCAGCCGCGGUAA
rnacentral:rRNA from 1 species